GACACCAUCCAGAGGUUCCCGUGGCUCCAGGCUUCUCUCCAUGCUACCAGCCAAUUUCUGAGCCCUGUCUCUGAGCCAGACCCGUGCUCGGUAUGUACAUGGAGUGCGUUAUUCCAUCCUUACGACCUAGGAGACAGGAACUGCCAAUUCUGUGAGUGAAGUGAGUAGCCUCAACUCAAAACACGACUCCCUGCCUGAGCUUUUUGAAAACGGCACGUGGAGAAGGUGCGUCUCCAACCCCCGUGAGCCGCGGCGCAAGCGGAGAGAGGCAGGCGGGCUUGGGGGUGCGCAGCCUGGGAGCCCAGGAUCCAUGACGUGAGAUGGAAUUUCAGCCCACAAAAGAGGUGACUGGCUCCUCCCUCCCCACCCCUCAUCAAACAGCUGCAGGAGCGCAGUUAACCAAACGGUGCAUAUUCCUAGUCAUGAAUUCCAUUUGGCCAGCAGCAGGUCUGGGACAUAUGGUCCCCUGAGGACACCUCGGGGAUGGCUGUCAGGAAAGGGCCUACCCACCUCAUCUGCCUGAAAUGCUGUUCCUUCACCCUCCGCUAGUUCUGCCACAGCUUCUGGCAGCUUCCAUUGUGUUCCCAAGAGUGGAAAGGGGACUGAUUCGGGGGGAGUGGGGAGCCGGAACACACCUUGCUCCUAAGUCCCCUAACUUUCAAAGUGCUAACCCCAGGACUGCUCUGUGAGGGAAAGAGGCCCAGGCCAAUUCUAUGUGUUGAGGGGAAGAGAGAUUUCCUUUUUUAUAAUAAACAAAUUGUGGGCCGGGUGCGGUGGCUCACGCCUCUAAAUUCCAGCACUCUGGGAGGCCGAGGCGCGCGGAUCACCUGAGGUCAAGAGUUGGAGACCAGCCUGGCCAACAUGGCGAAACUCCGUCUCAACUAAAAAUAUAAAAAUUAGCCAGGUGUGGUGGCGGGCGCCUGUAAUCCCACCUGUUCAGGAGGCUGGGGCGGGAGAAUCGCUUGAACCUGGGAGGCAGAGGUUGCAGUGAACCGAGAUGGCGCCACUGCACUCCAGCCUGGGCGACAGAUCAAGACUCCAUCUCAAAAAAAAAAAAAAAAAAAACCACACACAGAAAUUGAUAUAUUUUAAAUGUGUAUGUUAAACAAAUAAAUAAAUGCUAUUAACCCUCAAAGUACAAUGUAACAUCCUUGUGCUCUUGUUGAGAAUUAGGGGAAGAUUGGAUUCUUUGUGGGUUACCACAGAGGGUGUGAUAAUGGUACCAAGUUGAAAGGUGUUCAGGGCUCAAUGCU
rnacentral:lncRNA from 10 species